rnacentral:rRNA from 1 species
AUACGGAGGAUCCGAGCGUUAUCCGGAUUUAUUGGGUUUAAAGGGUGCGCAGGCGGCCAUUUAAGUCAGCGGUUAAAUCGUGGGGCUCAACCCCAUUCUGCCGUUGAUACUGGGUGGCUUGAUUGCGGUCGAGGUUGGCGGAAUUCGUUGUGUAGCGGUGAAAUGCAUAGAUAUGACGAAGAACACCGAUUGCGUAGGCAGCUGACUAGAGAGUAAAUGACGCUCAUGCACGAAAGUGCGGGGAACGAACAGGAUUAGAUACCUUGGUAGUCCGCACAGUAAACGAUGAAUGCUUGUUUUCGGCGAUAUAAUGUCGGAUGCAAAGCAAAAGCGAUAAGUAUUCCACCUGGGGAGUACGCCGGCAACGGUGAAACUCAAAUGAAUUGACGGGG